rnacentral:rRNA from 1 species
AUUGAACGCUGGCGGCAGGCCUAACACAUGCAAGUCGAACGGUAACAGGAAGCAGCUUGCUGCUUCGCUGACGAGUGGCGGACGGGUGAGUAAUGUCUGGGAAACUGCCUGAUGGAGGGGGAUAACUACUGGAAACGGUAGCUAAUACCGCAUAACGUCGCAAGACCAAAGAGGGGGACCUUCGGGCCUCUUGCCAUCAGAUGUGCCCAGAUGGGAUUAGCUAGUAGGUGGGGUAACGGCUCACCUAGGCGACGAUCCCUAGCUGGUCUGAGAGGAUGACCAGCCACACUGGAACUGAGACACGGUCCAGACUCCUACGGGAGGCAGCAGUGGGGAAUAUUGCACAAUGGGCGCAAGCCUGAUGCAGCCAUGCCGCGUGUAUGAAGAAGGCCUUCGGGUUGUAAAGUACUUUCAGCGGGGAGGAAGGUGCUGAGGUUAAUAACCUCAGCAAUUGACGUUACCCGCAGAAGAAGCACCGGCUAACUCCGUGCCAGCAGCCGCGGUAAUACGGAGGGUGCAAGCGUUAAUCGGAAUUACUGGGCGUAAAGCGCACGCAGGCGGUCUGUCAAGUCGGAUGUGAAAUCCCCGGGCUCAAUCUGGGAACUGCAUUCGAAACUGGCAGGCUAGAGUCUUGUAGAGGGGGGUAGAAUUCCAGGUGUAGCGGUGAAAUGCGUAGAGAUCUGGAGGAAUACCGGUGGCGAAGGCGGCCCCCUGGACAAAGACUGACGCUCAGGUGCGAAAGCGUGGGGAGCAAACA